CACGUAGUUAGCCGGGGCUUCUUAGUCAGGUACCGUCAUUUUCUUCCCUGCUGAUAGAGCUUUACAUACCGAGAUACUUCUUCACUCACGCGGCGUCGCUGCAUCAGGGUUUCCCCCAUUGUGCAAUAUUCCCCACUGCUGCCUCCCGUAGGAGUUUGGGCCGUGUCUCAGUCCCAAUGUGGCCGUCCGCCCUCUCAGGCCGGCUACCGAUCGUCGCUUUGGUGGGCCGUUACCCCGCCAACUGGCUAAUCGGACGCGGAUCCAUCGUAUGCCGAUAAAUCUUUUCACACCGUACCAUGCGGUACUGUGCGCUUAUGCGGUAUUAGCAGCUGUUUCCAACUGUUAUCCCCCUGCAUACGGCAGGUUAUCCACGCGUUACUCACCCGUCCGCCACUAACUUAACAAUCACUAGGUUUCAUGUUAAGCCCGUUCGACUUGCAUGUGUUAGGCACGCCGCCAGCGUUCAUCCUGAGCCAGGAUCAAACUCU
rnacentral:rRNA from 1 species